GCUGGAGGAGGGAGGCGGACCCAGAAGGCACCUGUCCUACCUCACUGUCUCCCUCCAGUACAACAGGAGGCAGGCCCCCAGGAGGCCCCAAGAUCACUAAGGCUGCCACAUCUGAAGCCCCCCAGGACGUGACCUACGCCCAAGUAAACCACUCAACCGUCAGAAGGGGGACGACCACACCCCUGGCUCCCCCGUCAGGGGAGCCCCCAGCAGAGCCCAGUGAGUACGCUACUCUCGCCGUUCGCUAGCCCAGGAAGGACCCGACCCCAGGCUCCCGGGACAGAUCUCAGACCCCAGGAGGCACGUGAGUUGCCAGCAGUGGACACCACCUAACCAAAAGCAGCAGUCCCUGGGCUCCUAACAGACCACCAGGAGCCCCAGGGACCCUUUCAGGUCAACUGGUUCUACCCUCAGAAACAGCAUCCUGGACCCCCGGUGGCCCAGCGGUUAAGAGUCUGCCAGCCAAUGCAGGGGACAUGGGUCUGAUCCACUUGCUGCCAGACAGCUGAGCCUAGGGGCGCUGCAGCUGCCGAAGCCCUGCUGCCCAGAGCCGGUGUUCCUCGAGGGGAGCCAGUGGGUGAGCAGGCCGUGCACAGCCAGGCACCAGCCUCCACUCGCUGCAAUCAGAGAGGGCCCACUCGCAGCAGGGAAGACUCAGCACAGCCACAAAUAAAC
ensembl:lncRNA